GCUUUUACUAGAAAGCCAUGCUCCUCUACGUAUAGCCUGAGUUCUGUCCAUAAGGCCAGAGGACAGUUCUGUGCUGGCUCAGUCCUGGUAGUUCUUCAGCCCUGUAUCAAACUUCUUAAUUUUGAUGUCUGCAGGAUGGACACAGGGAGAGAUGACUUAGCAGAUGGAGUUACAUAUUUCAGUUGAGCAUCCACACCUCUACAUCUGAGUCUUCUAGGUCAGGAGCCCUGGAAAACGACAAUGAAGCACAUCAGACUCUAAUUCACAGUAGAAGCCCCGGCCUAAUGUCACUCAGAUGACGUAAUGCACCUGUUAGAAGCUGAGGACAUCACCAUCCUUGGCUGUAAGGAGGCUUCAGGAAUAAGCUGUACGGCCCCUGAGGUAGGGCUGAGGACUCUUCUGGCAAAACUCUGGCUCCACAGCAGGACAAAACAUGCUGAAGGAUCUGUGACUGCACCAAGCAGACAUCGAGCGACGAUAUGGCUGGCCUC